AUGACAGCUUCCAUCUCAUUCUAUCCCAGUAGAGUCACCCCCAGCAGCUGCGGCUGGAGGAGACCCUCUGGCUUGGGGUCAGAGGACCUGGCGUCCGGUCUGGGCAGCAGCAGGCUGGGAGCGGCUCUCCCUGGAGCCUCACUGUCCCCACCUGUAGGCACCCGGGGCGAUCCUGAGCCCCAUUUACUCAGCACCCACUUCACCUCGCACCCCGCACCCCGCACCCAGAGCUGUAGCUGCCUGGCCUCGUUUCCUCCUCAACCCCGUGUGUCCCGGGGCCGUUUUCCUUACUUCGUGCGGGAGGACCUGGUGCCAAGCAAGGUGAGGCCCCGAGGCAGCAGGCCGGGGUUUCGAGGGUCCUUUGAAGUCGGCCAAGGGAAGGGGGCAGCUGUGGGGCCUGGGCUCAGGAGGGCAGCUCCUCCAGGUUCUGACCCCAGCAGGCCCAGCCCCAGCUACCAGGGGAGAACCCAGAGUGGGGGCUGCCUCCAGGCCCCGCAGGGAGCAGAGGAGACCCUGCCGUCUCCCUCCCAGCUCCCUGGUUCUGGGGAGAAGGCUAGUCAGCAGCCUCCAGCCACUCUCUCCAGCCCUGGCGCUUGGGUUCCACUCGGAGCAGCUGAGGCUGGUUGGUCGUGCGUUCUUCGCCCCAGGCUGGACCCAGCCUCUUCUCUCUGCUCCGGGCUCAUUGGCUUCCGCAGGCCCAGGCCGGGGCUGCAGGGACAGCAAUGUGGGCCUGGGGCUGGGAGGGGCGAGGCUUCCCCUGAGGCCCUGACCUGCUCAGCCCCUCGGGGAGCAGAGCUGGGGGAGCCGAGAGGAGCCAUCCAGGCACGAGGGGCCGUGGAAGCCCGAUGGGGACACUGGAGGCUCAUCGGAAACCCGAGGAGUGCUUCUGAAAACCUCUACAGCCUGGGCCGACCUCAGAGCUUCUGGGUUAACUUGUCUGGGUGCAGCCUGGGUGUGAGGGUGCCUAACGCUCCCCAGGUGAUUCCAAAGGCUGUCUCCUCACCUGUGGGUGGGAGGACGAGGUGGCCUUGUGGGGUGGAGGUGAGGCCAGCCCUGAUAUUUCCUCCGCUGUCCAGUGGUGGGUGGGAGGUGGGGGUGCUGGAGAGGGGGUGGCCAGCGUCCGUCCAGGGAGGAAGGGCUGGAGAGCGGACAGCUCCCUGGCACUGGUGUCUGGCCUUAUACCCCAGCUGUAGGUCCUUCCAGGGUCCGACUUCUCUUUCUCCUGCCACUAGCCUGCCCCUCCAGUUUCUCCCUCGUCCCACUCCACCCCACCCCAGCCCACCCGAUUAA
rnacentral:lncRNA from 1 species